rnacentral:rRNA from 1 species
CGAAUGCGCGGAGCCUGAUGCAGCGACGCCGCGUGAGGGAUGACGGCCUUCGGGUUGUAAACCUCUUUCAGUAGGGAAGAAGCGAGAGUGACGGUACCUGCAGAAGAAGCGCCGGCUAACUACGUGCCAGCAGCCGCGGUAAUACGUAGGGCGCAAGCGUUGUCCGGAAUUAUUGGGCGUAAAGAGCUCGUAGGCGGUUUGUCGCGUCUGCUGUGAAAGCCCGGGGCUCAACCCCGGGUCUGCAGUGGGUACGGGCAGACUAGAGUGCAGUAGGGGAGACUGGAAUUCCUGGUGUAGCGGUGAAAUGCGCAGAUAUCAGGAGGAACACCGAUGGCGAAGGCAGGUCUCUGGGCUGUUACUGACGCUGAGGAGCGAAAGCAUGGGGAGCGAACAGGAUUAGAUACCCUGGUAGUCCAUGCCGUAAACGUUGGGCACUAGGUGUGGGGGACAUUCCACGUUCUCCGCGCCGUAGCUAACGCAUUAAGUGCCCCGCCUGGGGAGUACGGCCGCAAGG